GAUGAAAACGCAGCGAAAUGCGAUAAGUAAUGUGAAUUGCAGAAUUCCGUGAAUCAUCGAAUCUUUGAACGCACAUUGCGCCCCCUGGCAUUCCGGGGGGCAUGCCUGUCCGAGCGUCAUUUCUGCCCUCCAGCCCGGCUGGGUGUUGGGCGCUGUCCCCCCGGGGACACGCCCCAAAGGCAGUGGCGGCGCCGCGUCGGGUCCUCGAGCGUAUGGGGCUUUGUCACCCGCUCGGGACGGACUCGUCGGCGCUGGUCUUCCUCCAGGCGACCCUUCGGGGCUCGUCUUCCUUCGGUUGACCUCGGAUCAGGUAGGGUUACCCGCUGAACUUAAGCAUAUCAAUAAGCGGAGGA
rnacentral:misc_RNA from 1 species